AUGGAGCUGCAGAAGGAUGAUGUUAAAAGCAAACAGCAGUGCCUCGUGCGCACCUCCUUGCUAAGCCCUUAUCCCAAGGAAGCCCAGGAAAGCAUCUACAGAGGCCUUGCAGCAUUGUCAGAGGAAAGCUUGCCUUACUUGAGUACGUCUUUAGAUGCAGAUAUUGACAUGUAUAACAUGAGAAUGAGAACCUGCACUGCAGAGGUAGACAAAAGUGAGACGGAAGCUGAUGUGCUGAGAGUGUGUGAUGGUGGUACAGAUUCCACCUGCGGGCUGUGCUAUGGUGGGAGUCAUGUCCAAUUGGGUGAAGAUUCACAGCUGGAGUACAUCAGUGCGAAUGAAGAAGGCUUUGAUGAUGGGAAUAGCUCAAGAGAGUUUCCUGAGCAAAGGGAAGCUGAGCAUUGUACGGGUGCAGAAGCAGCUAUGGCAGAGCUUCCCCAGCUGUUCCACAACUCUCUGCUGGUUGGCAGUGCUGUGGCUUGUGAUCAGAAGGAGGAGCAGGCAGCAUCUCUCAGUGGUCUUGCUGGACAUAUGCUUGACAAUAACGCAUGCAGGAGUACAGAAAGGAGUUACCUAAAUCUGCUUGCCAUUCACCAUUCAGAGGUGAAAGAUGCUUCCUCACCUGAUAGCACACAGCCCCAACAGAACCACAGGUGUGUUCACAGCAACUUAGCAGAGGGAGGAUGCCCUUCACUGUCACCAAGGGAAAGGGCCCCAGCAAAAACCACAGAGCUUUGCAAAAGGGCAGGGGACUCUGAGUUUUACAGUUGUGAGGAUCCCCUCCUGCACAUGUGCAGUGCCAGCUGCGCUUACCGUGCUGCAAAGGUGGAUGAGAACCGGCGUCCGGUCCCUGCAGUUCUCUCUAUCAAGGAUCUCUGUUCUGGGGAGGAAGCCUCAGGCAAAUCAUGCAGUGCAAAGACCUCCCUCAACCUGGAGUGUUGUGAAAGCUUGGGAGAUGUGGUCGGUCGUUCUAAAGUGAACCAGGCAGUCGAUGCGAGUUGUGAUUUUAGAGUUUGCUUUACAACCAGCAGAAGUACCAGUGCUCGAGUUCCUCUCUCAUCCAGGGCAAUUAAUACAGAGGUGACAAUGAUGAAUGAAUUCAGGUGUGUGGGUUCGCCUGGGGAAACUCGUGCCACUGUUGCUGGCAGUACAGACCGGCUGUCUGGACCUGGUCCUACAGAGGAAAUGGGGUCACAGCUUGCUGAUGUGCACCAGGAUGGCAGCGCUGGGGCAAAUGAAAGUAGAUCACAAGACAAGGUAACUUCGCAAAUAAUAAUGACGCAUAAAGCUUUGGUAACCUAA
rnacentral:lncRNA from 1 species